rnacentral:rRNA from 1 species
AACGAACGCUGGCGGCGGGCUUAACACAUGCAAGUCGAACGCACCUUCCGGGGUGAGUGGCAGACGGGUGAGUAACGCGUGGGAAUCUACCCUUCUCUACGGGAUAGCUCCGGGAAACUGGAAUUAAUACCGUAUACGUCCUGAGGGAGAAAGAUUUAUCGGGGAAGGAUGAGCCCGCGUUGGAUUAGCUAGUUGGUGGGGUAAUGGCCUGCCAAGGCGACGAUCCAUAGCUGGUCUAAGAGGAGGAUUAACCACGUUGGGACUGAGACACGGCCCAAACUCCUACGGGAGGGAGCAGAGGGGUACAUUAGAGGCGGGGCGCAAGCCUGAUCCAGCCAUGCGGGGUGAGUGAUGAAGGCCCUAGGGUUGUAAAGCUGUUUCAGUGGGGACGAUAAUGACGGUACCCACAGAAGAAGCCCCGGCUAACUUCGUG